rnacentral:rRNA from 1 species
ACGGGAGGCAUCAGUGGGGAAUAUUGCACAAUGGGGGAAACCCUGAUGUAGCGACGCCGCGUGAAGGAAGAAGGAUCUCGGUAUGUAAACUUCUAUCAGCAGGGAAGAUAAUGACGGUACCUGACUAAGAAGCCCCGGCUAACUACGUGCCAGCAGCCGCGGUAAUACGUAGGGGGCAAGCGUUAUCCGGAUUUACUGGGUGUAAAGGGAGCGUAGACGGAGUGGCAAGUCUGAUGUGAUAGGCAUGGGCUCAACCUGUGGACUGCAUUGGAAACUGUCAUUCUUGAGUGCCGGAGGGGUAAGCUGAAUUCCUAGUGUAGCGGUGAAAUGCGUAGAUAUUAGGAGGAACAUCAGUGGCGAAGGCGGCUUACUGGACGUUAACUGUCGUUGAGGCUCGAAAGCGUGGGGAGCAAACAGGAUUAGAUACCCUGGUA